GGCCAGACUCCUACGGGAGGCAGCAGUGGGGAAUAUUGCACAAUGGGGGAAACCCUGAUGCAGCGACGCCGCGUGAGUGAAGAAGUAUUUCGGUAUGUAAAGCUCUAUCAGCAGGGAAGAAAAUGACGGUACCUGACUAAGAAGCCCCGGCUAACUACGUGCCAGCAGCCGCGGUAAUACGUAGGGGGCAAGCGUUAUCCGGAUUUACUGGGUGUAAAGGGAGCGUAGACGGCAUGGCAAGUCAGAUGUGAAAGCCCGGGGCUCAACCCCGGGACUGCAUUUGAAACUGUCAGGCUGGAGUGCAGGAGAGGUAAGUGGAAUUCCUAGUGUAGCGGUGAAAUGCGUAGAUAUUAGGAGGAACACCAGUGGCGAAGGCGGCUUACUGGACUGUAACUGACGUUGAGGCUCGAAAGCGUGGGGAGCAAACAGGAUUAGAUACCCUAGUAC
rnacentral:rRNA from 1 species